rnacentral:rRNA from 1 species
UACGUAGGGGGCAAGCGUUGUCCGGAAUCAUUGGGCGUAAAGAGCGUGUAGGCGGCUCGGUAAGUCCGUUCUGAAAGUCCAGGGCUCAACCCUGGGAUGCGGAUGGAUACUGCCGGGCUCGAGUCCGGAAGAGGCGAGUGGAAUUCCCGGUGUAGCGGUGAAAUGCGCAGAUAUCGGGAGGAACACCAAUGGCGAAGGCAGCUCGCUGGGACGUGACUGACGCUGAGACGCGAAAGCGUGGGGAGCAAACAGGG